UCUCUAUUCGUAUUGAACUGUAGAAAGUACCACUGCUAGUGGCUAACUACUGAAGUAAAGAUAACUUUCUAUAAUGUAUAAAUCUAAUGGUAUGCAGGUAGUUGUCUUGGUUUAGAUGUGUUUAAAAGGUAGUGUAAAGGAUACACUGCUUUAAAGUUGAUUCACUGUUGUGGAGUGCAAAUACAAACUUGUCUAUACAGCUUCUCGGUUGCACUCUUUGGAAAUCAUAUAAUCAUGGUUCUGUUUUACAUUGGAACUGAUUGCAAGUGAAUAAGUUUCUGGAAGGACUUGGAGAAGCUGUCAUAUGCUUGGUCUCUAUGUGGUUUUACAAGUUUAGCCUUGUUGUAUUUUGUUUGUGUUUUCUAAUUCUAACACAAGUUAAUUCUUUUAUCGGUAAUAUUGGCACGGGAAAUUUUGUGUGGAUAAAUAACUUUAUUACUCAUCUUAAUGAUUUUUAUCUUUCUCAUCUAACAGUUACUCCAUACUUUUAUCUUAUUUUAGGUUGAUAUGAAUCCAUCAAAAUUUCAGAAGUCUGAAAUGGGAGCAACUUCAAAGAAUGUACAUCAUGCAUAUAUUCAACCUGGUGCUUUAGCAAGGGGAAGAGGACACAACUUUGGAUCUUUGGGCUCUGUAAAAACAAGUAUUGGAAAGAGAACUCUGAUUGGAGAAAAUAAAAAUCAUAAUUCAACAGCUUUUGAGCAGAAUAAGCUUGCACAUACUAAUAAUCUUAUGCCCCCUGAUUUUGCUUCGAUGGAAGAUGAUGCUCCCCUCGCUCAAGACCCUGAAGCGAUACAAGGUCUCUUAAGUUAUAAUUUUUUGUUUUGUUUUGUAUCUUAUUGGAUUGGUAUUGGUUUUAUGUUUCACAUAAAUCAAAAUUUGUAGAAACAGGAGCAGCUUGAAGAAUAUACAUCAUGUAUACAUUCAACCUGCGACUUUAGCAAGGGGACGAGAGAAAAGCUUUCGAUCUUUGGGCUCUGCAAAAAUAAAUAUUUUUUAAAAAAAUCUGAUUGGCGAGAUUAAAAAUUACAAUUCAAGGGCUUCUAAGCAGAAUAAGCUAGCACACAGUUGUAAUAAUCUCAUGCCUCCUGGUUUUGAUACGAUGGAAGACGACAUUCUUCACUCAAGAAGCUGAAACAUGCAAGAAGUUGGAGCUAUUUUGAAGAAUGUACGAGACACUUACAGUCAACCUAGUGUUUUAGCAAGGGGAUGUGGGCAAAACUUAAGAUCUUCGGGCUCGGCAAAAGGAAGCGUUGGAAAGAAAAAUCUGGUUGGCGAAAGUAAAAAUCAUAACUCAACAGCUUCUGAGCAGAAUAAAUAGCGCAUAAUAGUACUAAUCUUAUGCCUCUUAGUUUCGAUCCGAUGGAAGAUGAUGUUUCCCUCGCUCAAGAAGAUGAAAUGAUGCAAGAUUUAUGUGAACCUGAAAAGCCGAAAAAGGUGAGAGGAAAGAACAAGAAUAAAGAUGUAGCAGGACUCAAACCCGGAGAAAAGUUUAGAGUUAACUUUUACAACAAUCGGGUUGUGGGAAAGCAUCAAACCUCAUUUUCGAGACACUUGGGUAUAUUAGUUCGUGAUCGUAAUAUGUGUCCGUUGCAAGUACAUUCAUGGAAGGACAUCGGAGAAGAUAAGCCGGAACACAUGUGGCGAGCUGUUACAGACAAAUUUGACAGUGAUGACACGAAUCAUCAAAGAGAUCAUGUCUUAAACCAUAUGAAAAAGUUAUGGACCAAUUGGAGAGGAUCAUUGCCCAGGAUGUAAAGUUUAAGCCAUUGCAUGAAGCUCUAAAAAAUGUUCCGAAGGAGAUAGACAAGAGUGAUUGGGAAUGGUUAGUCAAAGAACAUUUUUUAAGUGAAAAAUUUAAGGAAACAAGUAUUAAAAACUCGAUCAAUAGGUCUAAGUUGAGAAUGCCUCAUCGUACGGGUAGCAAGCCGAUUAGAGAAAUUAUUUACGAACUGGCUGAAAUACAAGAGCUGGUACAAUUUGAGCCAUCUCUUACAAAUAUCGAGGUAAUAGAAAGGUAUUUCGGACCUCAAAACAAGAGUCAUGUGGUUGGAUUAGGGUGUGGUAUAACCACUAAGGAGUUGAAAGGUGGUAGCUCCUCAAAGGCUGCAAUCUUGAUUGAGCUAAAUGCAACUCGAAAAGAAAAAGAAUCACUACAAACAGAGCUGAAUGCAACUAAAAAAGCAAAAGACUCUCUGGAAAAACGUAUGGACGACUUUGAGUCUAAGUAUGAUCAUCUUAUAAGCUUAUUGGUUGAUCAACCUUCAUCAGCACCAUCUACAAGUCAACAAAGUACAAGUUGAAGUAUUUGACAGAUAAAGGGCCUGAAAUUUGAAGAAUUAUCCUUUAAGAGAGUUUCGAGCAAGUUGAAGCAUGUGGAAUUGUUCAAGAACAAGGGAAAUCUAUUUUGUUUUAUUAGGAGUUGUAGUCGUCAUCUGUACAAACUACUAUUUCGCUUUCUCUUUAGUUUUCUGUUUUCUUUAAGGAAUUGAAACAAAAGGAUCAUGCAAUUUGGACGCAA